AGAGUUUGAUCCUGGCUCAGGAUGAACGCUGGCGGCGUGCUUAACACAUGCAAGUCGAGCGAAGCACUUUGCUUUGAGAUCUUCGGAAGGAUAAGUUUUGUGACUGAGCGGCGGACGGGUGAGUAACGCGUGGGUAACCUGCCCCAUACAGGGGGAUAACAGUUAGAAAUGACUGCUAAUACCGCAUAAGACCACAGCACCGCAUGGUGCAGGGGUAAAAACUCCGGUGGUAUGGGAUGGACCCGCGUCUGAUUAGCUGGUUGGCGGGGUAACGGCCCACCAAGGCGACGAUCAGUAGCCCGG
rnacentral:rRNA from 1 species